UGGGGAAUUUUGGACAAUGGACGCAAGUCUGAUCCAGCCAUGCCGCGUGCGGGAAGAAGGCCUUCGGGUUGUAAACCGCUUUUGUCAGGGAAGAAACGAGUUUCUCUAAUACAGAGACUUAAUGACGGUACCUGAAGAAUAAGCACCGGCUAACUACGUGCCAGCAGCCGCGGUAAUACGUAGGGUGCAAGCGUUAAUCGGAAUUACUGGGCGUAAAGCGUGCGCAGGCGGUUAUGCAAGACAGAUGUGAAAUCCCCGGGCUCAACCUGGGAACUGCCUUUGUGACUGCAUGGCUAGAGUGCGGCAGAGGGGGAUGGAAUUCCGCGUGUAGCAGUGAAAUGCGUAGAUAUGCGGAGGAACACCGAUGGCGAAGGCAAUCCCCGGGGCCUGCACUGACGCUCAUGCACGAAAGCGUGGGGAGCAAACA
rnacentral:rRNA from 1 species